rnacentral:rRNA from 1 species
GAUGAACGCUGGCGGCGUGCCUAAUACAUGCAAGUCGAACGCUGAAGGAAGGAGCUUGCUCUUUCCGGAUGAGUUGCGAACGGGUGAGUAACGCGUAGGUAACCUGCCUGGUAGCGUGGGAUAACUAUUGGAAACGAUAGCUAAUACCGCAUAACAGUAGAUGUUGCAUGAUAUCUACUUAAAAGGUGCUUUUGCUCCCCUUCCUGAUGGACCUGCGUUGUAUUUGGUAGUUGGUGAGGUAACGGCUCACCAAGGCGACGGUACAUAGUCGACCUGAGAGGGGGGUCAGCCACACUGGGAAUGAGACACGGCCCAGACGGCUACGGGAGGCAGCAGGAGGGAAACGUCGGGAAUGGGCGGAAAUCAGACCGAGCAACGCCGCGGGAGGGAAGAAGGUUUUCGGGUCGUAAAGAACUGUUGUAAGGGGAGAACGAGUGGGGGAAUGGAAAGUUCACAAUGUGACGGUAUCUGACCAGAAAGGGACGGCUAACUACGUG